rnacentral:ncRNA from 1 species
GUCCGGCCACUCCACAAAAUGGCCCGACAGACUGACAAGAAAGGAUGAGAUCCCGCGUGGACGUGCGGUGUGGCAGUGUGGAGACCUGUCACAAAGGAGCUGCGGUUUCGCUCCGCUUCUCCGAGGUGGGCUUUGCGGAGGCAUUCCCACUAACGUCCGGAACAUGGCA